rnacentral:rRNA from 1 species
CCCCACUGCUAUCGGGAUAGGACUAAGACAUGCUAGUCGAGUGACUCAGGCAAAACGAGUCACGGCACACAGCUCAGUAACACGUGGCUAAUCUGCCCUUGGGACUAGAACAACCCCGGGAAACUGGGGCUAACUCUAGAUAGGUGAAGAACUCUGGAAUGAGUCUUUGCCUAAAUAGGUUCACGUUAUCCUCGUGAACUUGCCCAAGGAUGAGACCGCGACCGAUCAGGUUGUUGGCGAGGUAAUGGCUCACCAAGCCUUUUACCGGUGCGGGCCGUGGGAGCGGGAGCCCGGAGAUGGGUACUGAGACAAGGACCCAGGCCCUACGGGGCGCAGCAGUCGCGAAACCUUUGCAAUACACGAAAGUGUGACAGGGCUAUCCCGAGUGCCAUCCGCUGAGGAAGGCUUUUACCCAGUCUAGAACGCUGGGGGAAUAAGGAGAGGGCAAGUCUGGUGUCAGCCGCCGCGGUAAUACCAGCUCUCCGAGUGGUGUGGAUGUUUAUUGGGCCUAAAGCAUCCGUAGCUGGCUAGGUAAGUCCCUUGUUAAAUCCACCGAAUUAAUCGUUGGAUCGCGGGGGAUACUGCUUGGCUAGGGGACGAGAGAGGCAGACGGUAUUCUCGGGGUAGGGGUGAAAUCCUAUAAUCCCGGGAAGACCACCAGUGGCGAAGGCUGUCUGCUAGAACGCGCCCGACGGUGAGGGAUGAAAGCUGGGGGAGCGAACCGGAUUAGAUACCCGGGUAGUCCCAGCUGUAAACGAUGCAGACUAGGUGUUUGAACGGCCACGUGCCGUUCUAGUGCCGCAGGGAAGCUGUUAAGUCUGCCGCCUGGGGAGUACGAUCGCAAGAUUGAAACUUAAAGGAAUUGGCGGGGGAGCACCACAAGGGGUGAAGCUUGCGGUUU